rnacentral:lncRNA from 1 species
AUGAGCGGUGGUUUGGAACAGUUAGAACACAUGGAAUGGAGAGAGAAAAAAAAAAGACCCCGGAACCAACUGGAAGUGAAGAGCGAUACAAAAAAAUGGGUACAAAGGAAAUCUGACAAUACACAAUUCAUCUUCAAUAGAAAUGGAAUGAAGGAGAAGGUGGAGAAAGGUUCGUCAUCACACUCAAGACUAGAGGGAGGAGGGGUGGUCAGGUCAGAGAGGGAGGGAGGGGGGGCGGCAGGUCAGAGGAAGGGAGGGGGGCGGCAGGUCAAGAGGGAGGGAGGGGGGGGAGGGGGGCGGCAGGUCAGAGAGGGAGGGGGAGGGGGGGCGGCAGGUCAGAGAGGAGGGAGGGGGGGCGGGCAGGUCAGAGAGGGAGGGAGGGGGGGCGGCAGGUCAGAGAGGGAGGGGAGGGGGGGCGACAGGUCAGAGAGGGAGGGGGGGCGACAGGUCAGAGAGGAGGGGGGGGGGGCGACAGUCAGAGAGGGAGGGGGGGCGACAGGUCAGAGAGGGAGGGGGGGCGGCAGGUCAGAGAGGGAGGGAGGGGGGGGGCGGCAGGUCAGAGGAGGGGGGGGGGGGCGGCAGGUCAGAGAGGGAGGGGGGGCGACAGGUCAGAGAGGGAGGGGGGGCGACAGGUCAGAGAGGGAGGGGCGACAGGUCAGAGAGGAGGGGGGGCGACAGGUCAGAGGAGGGAGGGGGGGGGGCGACAGGUACAGAGAGGGGAGGGGGGGGGGCGGCAGGUCAGAGAGGGAGGGGGGGGCGCGCAGGUCAGAGGGGAGGGGGGGGCGGCAGGUCAGAGAGGGGAGGGGGGCGGCAGGUCAGAGAGGGAGGGGGGGGCGACAGGUCGAGAGGAGGGAGGGGGCACAGUCAGAGAGGGAGGGAGGGGGCGACAGGUCAGAGAGGAGGGGGCGACAGGUCAGAGAGGGAGGGGGCGACAGGUCAGAGAGGGGAGGGGGGGGGGAGGACAGGUGGUAUGAGAGCAGAGAAGAGUUGUGUUUAUCCCAAAUGUCCCCCUAUAUAGUGCACUACUUUAAACCAGGGCCCAUCGGCCGUCUCAGUUGGCGAAGGUCUGGCGCACGGCGUUGGCGAUGUGUUUGGCGCUGA